rnacentral:rRNA from 1 species
UACAGAGGUCCCAAGCGUUGUUCGGAUUCACUGGGCGUAAAGCGCACGUAGGCGGAUCUUUAAGUCAGGGGUGAAAUCCUGGAGCUCAACUCCAGAACUGCCUUCGAUACUGGCGAUCUCGAGUUCGGGAGAGGUGAGUGGAACUGCGAGUGUAGAGGUGAAAUUCGUAGAUAUUCGCAAGAACACCAGUGGCGAAGGCGGCUCACUGGCCCGAUACUGACGCUGAGGUGCGAAAGCGUGGGGAGCAAACAGG